GGGCGAUUAGCUCAGCGGGAGAGCACUGCCUUCACACGGCAGGGGUCACUGGUUCGAACCCAGUAUCGCCCACCA
rnacentral:tRNA from 25 species